AACGCGAAGAACCUUACCUACUCUUGACAUCCAGAGAACUUAGCAGAGAUGCUUUGGUGCCUUCGGGAACUCUGAGACAGGUGCUGCAUGGCUGUCGUCAGCUCGUGUUGUGAAAUGUUGGGUUAAGUCCCGCAACGAGCGCAACCCUUAUCCUUUGUUGCCAGCGGUUCGGCCGGGAACUCAAAGGAGACUGCCAGUGAUAAACUGGAGGAAGGUGGGGAUGACGUCAAGUCAUCAUGGCCCUUACGAGUAGGGCUACACACGUGCUACAAUGGCAUAUACAAAGAGAAGCGACCUCGCGAGAGCAAGCGGACCUCAUAAAGUGCGUCGUAGUCCGGAUUGGAGUCUGCAACUCGACUCCAUGAAGUCGGAAUCGCUAGUAAUCGUAGAUCAGAAUGCUACGGUGAAUACGUUCCCGGGUCUUGUACACACCG
rnacentral:rRNA from 1 species